AAAGAGUAAGUAAAGAGAGCAACGCGCUUGUAGAGCGCAAAUCUCUGCCAGCACUAGUUUCCAAAUCCACAAAUUUUUACCUUGGAAAAAAUUUUCAAGGUCAAAGUCCUGUUAGAAGUGUCUUUUCAUAAGCUAAAAA